AUUCGAUUGUUUCGCAUUUUUUUUUAAAUUGGAUCCAGUUAUUCUGGACAAUUUCUCACUUGUGUUGAAAUAAAAGUGUCCGGAAUUUGAUCGGAAGGCCAUGUCUCGAAUUCCAGCAGUAAAGCGGAAGAUGGAAAAUUCCUUAAGGCCUGAAACUUCAGACGAAAGCCGCAACUUGCCUGAUCCGGAUCAGAUAAAGGUUGUGCUCUGUAUCUAUACACUUCCGGGACCUGGAGCUAGAAGGUGUGCCGGGACCGUCUCCCAAAUAAUGGUUCCGCAAGAGAAGGCCCGCCAGCAUGCAGUGCAUUUGUUAUAAAUUGAAAAAAGUGGAACAAUUGUGAGUAUUAUAAUGUAUUAAGAAGUGAGAAAUUCUAAAACCAAAUAAAUGUUUUUUAAAGCAUGAACAGAA